UACGGAGGGGGCUAGCGUUGUUCGGAAUUACUGGGCGUAAAGCGCACGUAGGCGGCUUUGCAAGUUAGAGGUGAAAGCCCGGGGCUCAACUCCGGAAUUGCCUUUAAAACUGCAUCGCUAGAAUUGUGGAGAGGUAAGUGGAAUUCCGAGUGUAGAGGUGAAAUUCGUAGAUAUCAGGAGGAACACCUGUGGCGAAAGCGGCUCACUGGACCAUAACUGACGCUGAUGCACGAAAGCUAGGGGAGCAAACAGG
rnacentral:rRNA from 1 species